GAUCCGCCCCGACUGCAUCCCUAGCUUUCAAGAACAUAUUUGGUCCAUGAUUGAAAUAGAAAUAAAAAAUAAAAUUGAAUUACUUUGAAAUGAAAAAUAGAAUAACGAAUCACCUAAAAACAUUUGGUUCAUUUCUGAAAUGAAAAUCGGAAUAAAAAUUUAGAAUUUUUAGAGUGGAUUUUGAUUAAGAGAGAAGAGCGUGAUGAAGGUAGAGGAGGGGGAGAUGUUUUGUUAUAGAGGAUUUUAAGUAAUUUAUUUUGGAACAGGCUAAUUCAAGAUUCAAAUCCGAAUUGGGCUAUAAAUAGAUGUGAUCAUUUUCAUUCCAGAGUGGAAUAAGAUUUGAAAAUUCGAUUCUUGUAAACUAAACAAUAACUAUUGAAAUCAGUAAAUUUUAUUUCGAUUCCAUAGUCUAAAAUAGAGAAUCAAACGUGCUCUCUUCUUAUCAGUU
rnacentral:lncRNA from 1 species